ACACUUGCCCAUCAGGGCAUUCAGUAUAUGCACCCAAAUCUGUGAGAAAGAUUUUCCAACUCUGCUGAAGAGCAAGGUUGGUAUCUCCUUGAUUGCUAUACCAUUCACCACUUCAGUCACGAUGGCUUACAGUUACACAUCUUCAACAGCAUUAAAAAAAAAAACAAGAUAUGGAAGAUCAGAACUGCUGCUCCUUCGCUUCUUGAUGUAGGAUCUCUCUAUACACAAGCACUGUGCGCGAGUCUUCCCCUUAAAACUUUGAGCACUGCAUAAAUUCUGCUGGUCAAGAGGCUCAGACUGUGAUUUCAAAAGAUUUCUAUUGUUACAUGGCAAAUCAUCUGUUGUGCUGAAAUUACAUGGGUGUAAAUAAUUCUCUGUGCCAAGAUAUCCUUUUUUCUAUACAAGCCAGCUGUUAGAAAACCAUAAAGACUCUCAUUAACUUAUUAGUUAGAGCUCUCAAAUUCAGACUCUGAAGGGUGGCUACCCUUCAGUUAAGGAAGGGAAUUGGAUCAGCAAAUGUGUUAUGCUAAGUUUCACCACAGUUAAUAGUUCACACGCAUCUUCUGUCUUAUGAUUACAUUGAAAUGCUCAGAUUCUUAUGUAUAGUCUUAAGCAUGCUAUGUACAGAAUUAUGAAGCAGGAAGAUUUGAACAUGUUAAAGCUUCAUAGUUGUAUAUUGCCUGUUCUCCAAAAAUAGCCCUUGUAUUUGAAAUAAAUUUGUUUUAAACAGGCUAAUAUUUGAUAGGCAGUUAUUCACCUGUCUCUGACCUAAACACAACAGGGAGGAUGGAGUUAAGGAAGGCCAAGAGAGCUCUUCUUCAUGGUAACUUCCACGAUUUCAAUUAUCUAAAUUAGCUUCCAUCACAAAUUUCCUCAGAAUGGGAUUUCUGAGUGAAUGUCAGUGCUUGAAACUGAUGGCAGCAGCAAAAUUAUUCUGUGAAAAUGAGGGGAAAAUGAAGAACUAUUUGUUUAUACCUUAAGGCUUUGCAACCUCCUGUGAGAAAUUAAGUAUUAUUUAGAUAAGAGAGUUAUUUAAUCGUUCUUAUCAGCUGCCUUUUUUCCUCCCAAAUGUGGUCAGCAGCUGGAGGUCACUGCCUGAUUGCUUUUUUUUUUUCUAAAAUAGUAUGAAUAUGAAUAAACAGGCCAAAAACACUUGUAGAGUUAGGAUAUAAAGGAAGCUGACAUAAUUGGCAUUGUUUGGUUCACAGGAAUAGGGAAAAAUUGUUUCUGUAUUCCUAUGGUAACGCUGAUUCCUUUAAAAGAGAUGGAUGCGCCAAAAUAUUUAUGGCUAUUGUUCAGAAUGAAAAUAGAAUCACUGAAAUUUCUGUCUUCUACCAAAUUCUUGAUUUUUAUUUUUAUAGAGUGCUCUCAAACAAUAUCUGGCAUAUCUAGAUCUGCGUGUAUUUUUAUUUUUAUUUGUUUUGGUUUGCACUUCAUGUUGUUAACUGAAACAAAAGCUCUGAAAUCAUUUAAACCUGUAUUAAAUUUUUGC
rnacentral:lncRNA from 7 species